rnacentral:lncRNA from 1 species
AUGGAAGGAAGCUACCAACACUACAAAUAUUACCAUUUUUUUGCCUUAUGCUUUGGACUGGGAUGGUUUAUAGCACUCUACAGACCAUUCCAUUCUCUUGUGGUUCCAUCAGUUAUUGCAGUAUUUUUCACGCUGGCCUUUGAAUUUGUGGGCUUGGCAUGUGACAUGCCAGCUCAUACUAAGAAAUGCAGAGGUCCUCCAUAUGAGAGAAGAGAUGCUUAUUGGGGAUUUGGUUUUGCUGUUUUUAUCGCCUUCCUGAAUCUCAACCUCUCUUACGCUUACACACUAUCCUAUGGAGGUGGAAUCAUAGUGUUUGCAAUGAGAGGAGCAAAACGGAAAUGGAAUUCUUUAAGGGAGAUAAGAGCGAAAGAAAAGAAUGCUCAAGGUAGACGGUGGUGA